GACGAACGCUGGCGGCGUGCUUAACACAUGCAAGUCGAGCGGUAAGGCCCUUUCGGGGGUACGACGAGCGGCGAACGGGUGAGUAACACGUGGGUGACCUGCCCUCAGCUCUGGGAUAAGCCUGGGAAACCGGGUCUAAUACCGGAUAUGACUCCAUGACGCAUGUUGUGGGGUGGAAAGCCUUGUGCGGCUGAGGAUGGGCCCGCGGCCUAUCAGCUUGUUGGUGGGGUGAUGGCCUACCAAGGCGACGACGGGUAGCCGGCCUGAGAGGGCGACCGGCCACACUGGGACUGAGGACACGGCCCAGACUCCUACGGGAGGCAGCAGUGGGGAAUCUUGCGCAAUGGGCGAAAGCCUGACGCAGCGACGCCGCGUGAGGGAUGACGGCCU
rnacentral:rRNA from 1 species